rnacentral:tRNA from 1 species
GCCUCGGUAGCUCAGUUGGUCAGAGCACUACCUUGGUAAGGUAGGGGUCGCGUGUUCAACUCACGCCCGAGGCU